rnacentral:rRNA from 1 species
UAGGGAAUCUUCGGCAAUGGGGGCAACCCUGACCGAGCAACGCCGCGUGAGUGAAGAAGGUUUUCGGAUCGUAAAGCUCUGUUGUAAGUCAAGAACGGGUGUGAGAGUGGAAAGCUCACACUGUGACGGUAGCUUACCAGAAAGGGACGGCUAACUACGUGCCAGCAGCCGCGGUAAUACGUAGGUCCCGAGCGUUGUCCGGAUUUAUUGGGCGUAAAGCGAGCGCAGGCGGUUUGAUAAGUCUGAAGUUAAAGGCUGUGGCUCAACCAUAGUUCGCUUUGGAAACUGUCAAACUUGAGUGCAGAAGGGGAGAGUGGAAUUCCAUGUGUAGCGGUGAAAUGCGUAGAUAUAUGGAGGAACACCGGUGGCGAAAGCGGCUCUCUGGUCUGUAACUGACGCUGAGGCUCGAAAGCGUGGGGAGCGAACAGGAUUAGAUACCCUGGUAGUCCACGCCGUAAACGAUGAGUGCUAGGUGUUGGAUCCUUUCCGGGAUUCAGUGCCGCAGCUAACGCAUUAAGCACUCCGCCUGGGGAGUACGACCGCAAGGUUGAAACG